GGAGAAGUACCCAAGUGGUUAUAAGGGGGCGCACUCGAAAUGCGUUAGGGCGGGUAACCGUCGCGUGAGUUCGAAUCUCACCUUCUCCGCCA
rnacentral:tRNA from 3 species